rnacentral:rRNA from 1 species
AUUGAACGCUGGCGGCAUGCUUUACACAUGCAAGUCGAACGGCAGCACAGGGAGCUUGCUCCCGGGUGGCGAGUGGCGCACGGGUGAGUAAUACAUCGGAACGUGUCCUGUUGUGGGGGAUAACUGCUCGAAAGGGUGGCUAAUACCGCAUGAGACCUGAGGGUGAAAGCGGGGGAUCGCAAGACCUCGCGCAAUUGGAGCGGCCGAUGCCCGAUUAGCUAGUUGGUGGGGUAAAGGCCCACCAAGGCGACGAUCGGUAGCUGGUCUGAGAGGACGACCAGCCACACUGGGACUGAGACACGGCCCAGACUCCUACGGGAGGCAGCAGUGGGGAAUUUUGGACAAUGGGGGGCAACCCUGAUCCAGCCAUGCCGCGUGCAGGAUGAAGGUCUUCGGAUUGUAAACUGCUUUUGUCAGGGACGAAAAGGGAUGCGAUAACACCGUGUUCUGCUGACGGUACCUGAAGAAUAAGCACCGGCUAACUACGU